rnacentral:rRNA from 1 species
CAAAGGAAGUUGACGGGGCCCGCACAAGCGGUGGAGCAUGUGGUUUAAUUCGACGCAACGCGAAGAACCUUACCAGGGCUUGACAUCCCCUGACCGCGUAUGAAAGUACGUUUUCACCCUCGGGUGACAGGGAGACAGGUGGUGCAUGGUUGUCGUCAGCUCGUGUCGUGAGAUGUUGGGUUAAGUCCCGCAACGAGCGCAACCCCUACGUUUAGUUGCUAACGCGUGAAGGCGAGCACUCUAGACGAACUGCCGUUGACAAAACGGAGGAAGGUGGGGAUGACGUCAAAUCAUCAUGCCCCUUAUGUUCUGGGCUACACACGUGCUACAAUGGCCGGUACAGACGGACGCAAAGCCGCGAGGUGGAGCAAAUCCUAAAAAGCCGGUCUCAGUUCGGAUUGCAGGCUGCAAUUCGCCUGCAUGAAGUCGGAAUCGCUAGUAAUCGCAGGUCAGCAUACUGCGGUGAAUACGUUCCCGGGCCUU